rnacentral:lncRNA from 1 species
UGGGCUUUUGUUUUAUUUUAUCUUGGGCUGAAGUUAAAUUAAUUAGAAUGGGCUGGAGAUUUAUUCAUUGGGCCAUGCAUUAUUUAAUUGAGUCCAAUCGUUUAUUCAGUAAUUGGGCCGAUUUUAUUCACUGUUCGGGCCUCGUAUUUUAUUCCGUUGGGCCGCCUCAUAUAUGUUCUAUAGGCCGUCCAGAUUUAUUUAUUCAUUUGAGCCAAUUAUUUAAUUCACACAUU